UGGGGAAUUUUGGACAAUGGGCGCAAGCCUGACCCAGCAACGCCGCGUGAAGGAUGAAGUAUUUCGGUAUGUAAACUUCGAAAGAAUAGGAAGAAUAAAUGACGGUACUAUUUAUAAGGUCCGGCUAACUACGUGCCAGCAGCCGCGGUAAUACGUAGGGACCAAGCGUUGUUCGGAUUUACUGGGCGUAAAGGGCGCGUAGGCGGCAAUUCAAGUCAUCUGUGAAAUCUCCGGGCUUAACUCGGAACGGUCAGAUGAUACUGCUUUGCUAGAGUGCAGAAGGGGCAAUCGGAAUUCUUGGUGUAGCGGUGAAAUGCGUAGAUAUCAAGAGGAACACCUGAGGUGAAGACGGGUUGCUGGGCUGACACUGACGCUGAGGCGCGAAAGCCAGGGGAGCAAACGGGAUUAGAUACCCAUGUAGUCCCUGAGCGGGCUGGCAAGGCGCAU
rnacentral:rRNA from 1 species